GCGGUCACUGCGAACACCAGCGUCCCGAGAGCACGAGGGACUCCGCACAGCAGGCUCUGUGUGCAUUGCAACAGAGGCCUGUGAUGUUGUGAUGAAAAUCCCGUCGUCCAAACAGAUUUGGUUCACAUCAGUGGUUGCGGAGCAAACCUCCGAGGAAUAUUUAUGAACAGAUGACACCCUUCC